rnacentral:rRNA from 1 species
AUUUUUUACAAUGGGGGAAACCCUGCUCCAGCCAUCCCGCGUGUAUGAUGAAGGCCUUCGGGUUGUUAGGUACUUUUGGCAGAGAAGGAAAGGUACCUCCUAAUACGAGGUACUGCUGACGGUAUCUUCAGAAUAAGCACCGUCUAACUACGUGCCAGCAGCCGAGGUAAUACGUAGGGUGCAAGUGUUAAAAGGAAUUACUGGGCGUAAAGGGUGGGUAGGCGGUUCGGAAAGGAAGAGGUGAAAUCCCAGGGGUCAACCUUGGAACUGCAUUUUAAACCGCCGAGCUAGAGUAUGGUAGAGGGAGGUAGAAUUCCACGGGUAGGAGUGAAAUGCGUAGAUAUGGGGAGGAAUACCGAUGGCGAAGGCAGCCCCCUGGGAUAAUACUGACGCUCAGACACGAAAGCGUGGGGAGCAAAAAG